rnacentral:rRNA from 1 species
AUUGAACGCUGGCGGCAGGCCUAACACAUGCAAGUCGAGCGGAUGAGAAGAGCUUGCUCUUCGAGUUAGCGGCGGACGGGUGAGUAAUGCCUAGGAAUCUGCCUGGUAGUGGGGGACAACGUUUCGAAAGGAACGCUAAUACAGCAUACGUCCUACGGGAGAAAGCAGGGGACCUUCGGGCCUUGCGCUAUCAGAUGAGCCUAGGUCGGAUUAAGUAGUUGGUGAGGUAACGGCUCACCAAGGCGACGAUCCGUAACUGGUCUGAGAGGAUGAUCAGUCACACUGGAACUGAGACACGGUCCCGACUCCUACGGGAGGCAGCAGUGGUGAAUAUUGGACAAUGGGCGAAAGCCUGAUCCAGCCAUGCCGCGUGUGUGAAGAAGGUCUUCGGAUUGUAAAGCACUUUAAGUUGGGAGGAAGGGUAGUAAGCGAAUACCUUGCUGUUUUGACGUUACCGACAGAAUAAGCACCGGCUAACUCUGUGCCAGCCGCCGCCGUAACAC